CCGCCAGGUCCGCCACCAGCGAGAGGCGCAGCUGCCCCGCGGGCCUAGAGCGCCUCUGCCCCGCCCCCCCCCAGCCCGGCUUGACCCCACCCCCGCGAGCUUGAUUUGGCUACGCCCACGUGCGCAGCCUGCUGCCGGACUGGGGCACGAGGCCCAAGUAAGCCCCGCCCCCUCCCUCCCGUCUCCGCCAUUUUGGAGCCGGGCAGCCGAACCUGACUGUGGUAGAAUGGGCCACCCGUCCUUUCUUGCCUCUCAGAGGUCAUUAAGAGUAUUUUGAGAAAGGACAUCUUGGCAUUCCCCUGCCUCAGGACAUUCACGACUUAGGGACUGAGUGUUUAUGGAGCUCCAAAAGUGAAUACUUUUUCCUCAAAGCCGCAAAGGCUGCGGGCAGUGAAAUGGGAGUAUCUACCUCAGACCACCUGUGGGUCCACCCGGUCGCUGGAGGCCCUUAUACCCCGAGGCUGCGUGUCUAUAGUGGCCCACAAGGAGGCGCUUAUACCCCAGGGCUGCGUGUCUACAGUGACCCAGAAGGAGGCGCGUAUACCCCAGGGCUGCAUGUCUACAGCGGCCCACAAGGAGGCGCUUAAUCCCCGGACAAGAGGGAGCUAGUACCUCGAUGUAGUAUCCUUGGACAGUAUGAUCCUUGAAGUCCUUUCCAGCUAUGAGAAGACCCAGAGGAGGAAGAGAGAGAUAGGGUACAAGGAGACCAGAGAUAAAGGCACUAGCCAAGAUUUUUUUAAAAGAUCAGAGUGAUGGUAAGAGCCAGACAUCUAUAAACUCCUUCUCAGUCCUUUCCAUACACCAACACACCCAUCCUCUCCUCCUCCUCUUUGACCUCAGAACCCUAUCCAGGCCACAGCCAUGCCUUCUCCCUGAACCCCAGGUCUGUAAUUCUCUAAUGCUUUAGAGUCUCAUGGGCCUCACACGACAGACUGGCCAGAAACUCCCUCUGUGUUUUCCAGUUCUUCAUUGCUUCUGGAAGGGGGUAACAAGGAAUGGGAAAGGAAGCCCCAGGACCCACACUAGGGGGAAGGGAGGGUCCUGGGCUCCAGAUGUAGGGUGAGGGGUAAUCAGGACUGGGCCCAGCUCCAUCCAAAUCUCCCUGGGGCCUGAGGAGUUUCCCGGAAAGUGCAGGGGCCAAGGGAGGGAACUGGAGCUGCUGGGAAACCAGCUUGACUCACUACUCUUUCAUUCCCCCCCCCUCCAAUCUCAGCCCACAGCCUUGCCUGCCACAGCUGGAUCCAAACCUUCUCCCCUCCUCCACAUAGAGCAGUAUCCAGAUACCCCCUCCCACCAUGUCCAUCCUCAGACGGCUGUCUAUACAAGAAAACCACUAGUUCACUCCUCCUCCACACACACUUGGAGGUGAUCCUUCUCCACAGAAUGGAACUACAGCUAGUCUAAACCCAGUUCUGUUCUCCUACCCCCACCCAGAGUAUCUUCCCUUCUGAACCCAAGUGUGUCUACAAGCCCUUGUCUUCAAGGGUCUCUUGUCGGUACCCAGGCUCCCUAUGUCAGGAGACACUUCAGAUUCUAAAUUAGGGGCUCUCAGUCUUCUUCGUGUGUGUCAUGGACCCCUUUGGCUGUCUUGGUGAAGCCUGUGGGCCCCUUCUUUUUUAGAUGUAUAAAAUAAAAUUUACAGGAUUACAACAGCAAAUUAUAUUGAAACAUAGUUAUCAAAACAUGAGAGAAAAGACAAGUUCACAGAUCUGAGUUGGAUUCCCUACCUAAAUCUCAGGCUUUGAAGAUUAGAGCAUGGUGGUGGUUAAUACAGACAUACAUUUGUAUUUGAGCCUCAGCUUUUCCAUCCACAAAGUGGGAAUAAUAACCCUUACGCUGUUACUUUCUCUCCACAGACUUACAAAGAGUACAUUGUAAACAUUAAAGCUAGAGACGUUGAUGGUGUUAUGAAGAGAUACUGAGGGGAUGGAGGAAGGAGUUGCUGAGUAGAGGGCAGGAGGGACAUCCAUGGUCAGGGAAAUGGGAGCCACUGCUCCCCGUGGGGUCCCCAGGGUUCCCUCCUCCCCCCUCUCCCUAAAAAAGGAAGUGGAGUAAGAAAUAUGCGCCUGGCUGCUUGGA